UUGCAAGCCAGCCAAUGAUGUUUGGAAUUGAAGCAAUCAUAAGAGACCCUUUCCGCCCAAUGUACUCCGCAAUUUGUCCACUAGCAAUAGCUCCCACCAUAGCUCCGACAUUAGAGAGCGAGCCGAAGACCGAGAACUCGGAGAGGGAGAGGCCGAGGUCCUUGAUGAUGUCGUCCUGAGUGGGAGAGGAGUAUCCUCCGGUGAAGCCGAACUGGAUGGGGCCGAGGGCGACGAUGAGGGUGCAGAGGACGACGGAGACUGCGGAGUCGCGGAUGGAGGCGGAGGAGCCGAGCAAGCUCGACUGCCGCGAUCCCAUGUCCAUCCGGUACCAGCUCCCCGUGUGGAGGAACGGCUUGCGGAGAUCGGAGCUGCGGGCGCCAUCCUCGCCGCUGCUGUUCUCGUCGCCGCGGAAGCUCAUCGCCGACGGUGGAAGAGAGAGAGGUCACGUCGAUGCUGUGCUGGAUUGAGUGGCCUCUAA
rnacentral:misc_RNA from 1 species